rnacentral:rRNA from 1 species
UUCCUACGGGGGGCAGCAGUAGGGAAUUUUCGUCAAUGGGCGCAAGCCUGAACGAGCAAUGCCGCGUGAACGAGGAAGGUCUUCGGAUCGUAAAGUUCUGUUGAAGGGGAAAAAGAGCGGAGAGAGGAAAUGGUCUCCGAUUGAUAUUACCCUUCGAGGAAGUCACGGCUAACUACGUGCCAGCAGCCGCGGUAAUACGUAGGUGGCAAGCGUUGUCCGGAUUUACUGGGUGUAAAGGGCGUGCAGCCGGAGAGACAAGUCAGAUGUGAAAUCCACGGGCUCAACCCGUGAACUGCAUUUGAAAC